CCUACGGGCGGCAGCAGUGGGGAAUAUUGGGCAAUGGGCGCAAGCCUGACCCAGCAACGCCGCGUGAAGGAAGAAGGUCUUCGGGUUGUAAACCUCUUUUAAGAGGGAAGAGCAGAAGACGGUACCUCUUGAAUAAGCCACGGCAAACCACGUGCCAGCAGCCGCGGUAAUACGUAGGUGGCAAGCGUUGUGCGGAUUUACUGGGUGUAAAGGGCGUGUAGCCGGGCUGACAAGUCAGAUGUGAAAUUCCGGGGCUCAACCCCGGACCUGCAUUUGAAACUGUUGGUCUUGAGUAUCGGAGAGGCAGGCGGAAUUCCUAGUGUAGCGGUGAAAUGCGUAGAUAUUAGGAGGAACACCAGUGGCGAAGGCGGCCUGCUGGACGACAACUGACGGUGAGGCGCGAAAGCGUGGGGAGCAAACAGGAUUAGAUACCCCAGUAGUC
rnacentral:rRNA from 1 species